UGAAUGUGCAACCAACACAUCAAGCUGUCAGCAAAUCUGCAACAACACAAUUGGAAGCUUUGUGUGCGGUUGUAAUCCAGGAUUCAGUGUCAACGUGAAUAACAGUCUUCUUUGCAACGCACAACGUAAAGUUAUCCUGAGAUAUACAGUCGCAAGUGAGGAUCUGAACUUGGCUCUUCAACAAGUAAGAGAGAAGAUUAUUGAAAAGCUUCAACUUCACGCUCUUGGGAUUCUUCAGAUACAUAAAAGCGAGGAAUCAUAAACAGAAGAAGCAUGGAACAGAGAAAGAGUUUCAUCUUAGUGAAAUUUCUAAUGCAUAAUAUAAUGAUUGAUACCUCAAGCUGAAUGAUAGUGUAUAAUAUUCAUUAUUCUAAAAUAAAAUAAUUUAACAGUGUUUAUUUGAAUCCUGUUCAUAUUAGUGCCUAUGCUUGUAUUCUUUUUUUCCUAUUAUAUGUGUAGCAAUUGUGCCAUAAUAGAUGGGCUGAUGUUUCCAUCUUAUAUGCAACUGAUUAAAUUGUUAAAUAAUUUAUUUAACUAAACUUAGAGCUGAAAUAUUUGAAGGCUGCUCAAAAAUGUUUCAGCACAGGUACCCAGAAAGACAAGGACAACCUAUAAUUGCAAUUAAAUUUAAAUGGUUCCUCAUAAAUGCAACUUACCUGGCAUUUGCAUUUAUGCCUGGACUUAAUAAAUUUUUCUGGGAUUAAACAAUACAAAUCUAAAGAAUUAUUACUUUAUUCAGCAAUAUCAAGAAAUAUUUAAAGAAUUCUUCUGGAGAUUUCAUCGAUCCUGCUGGAGUUGAAGCAUUUUAAAUUUCAAGGUCUAACUAAAAGCUUCUAGGCAAAUUGUACCUUGAAAGUUAUUUCCCAUAAAAUUGUCAUACCCAUUCAUAAAGGCAACAAUUCCAAUUAUUGGAUUGCAUUUGAUUCAUUGCAUUGAAAUAUUUCUUUGAAAUCAUACUCCCAGUUUUAAGUUCAUACAGUAUAUUGUAUAUGCACAGUAAUUGUAUGAUUCACUUCUCUGUAAUGCCAAGCUCUGUGCCGUGAGUACUGCUGGAACAUGAUCAUGUAAUAGAUAAAAAAUAAAUUAUUGUGACUUAGUAGAAUAAUAAAUGGAACAUUUUGUACUAGCAAAAAUGGAGUGGAUAGUAUAUAGCGGAUAUUACAUUUUCUAUGCUUAAAGGUUCUAAAGAAAAAUUGUGAAUGAUUGUUACAAUAUUUUUGGAUGCAAUACCUAAACUAAUUAUAGCUGAUGGUGCCCUAAAUGAAAACAAAACAGGUUUAUUUGCUUCAAUAUCAACAUUCUUCUGUAUCAUGAUUUACAAAAGUAUUUCACUUCUCUAGAAUUCAAUGAGCAUGCUUCAGAUAUAUGGAAGACAGUGUCAAUGUUAAUACAUGGAUUGGAGUGGCAGCACAGGGCAGAUAAAUCAGAAAAAAAAUCAAUUACAUGAUUAAUUUUGUAUUGACCACAGUAAAUAACAAUGGUACAAUACUGAUGGUUUUCAAAGAUUUCUAUUUUUGCU